GAAGUUCACAGCGAAUUUUGCAAAAUUUUUUGCGAAUUUUUUGUUGUGAUCGAAAGCAGAAGAACGAAGACAACUAGACGAGAUAUGGAUUCAUGUCUCGCUGUUUUGUCCUGAUCAGGGUGAGGAUUUGGGUCAGCAUUCAUAAACAGCUAGACAUAAAUCUCUAAUCUGUCUUCACGCCUGACCCUAAACUCAGAAUGCGUAAGAAAAUGUGCAA